rnacentral:rRNA from 1 species
CCAGACUCCUACGGGAGGCAGCAGUGGGGAAUAUUGGACAAUGGGCGAAAGCCUGAUCCAGCCAUGCCGCGUGUGUGAAGAAGGUCUUCGGAUUGUAAAGCACUUUAAGUUGGGAGGAAGGGCAGUAAAUUAAUACUUUGCUGUUUUGACGUUACCGACAGAAUAAGCACCGGCUAACUCUGUGCCAGCAGCCGCGGUAAUACAGAGGGUGCAAGCGUUAAUCGGAAUUACUGGGCGUAAAGCGCGCGUAGGUGGUUUGUUAAGUUGGAUGUGAAAUCCCCGGGCUCAACCUGGGAACUGCAUUCAAAACUGACUGACUAGAGUAUGGUAGAGGGUGGUGGAAUUUCCUGUGUAGCGGUGAAAUGCGUAGAUAUAGGAAGGAACACCAGUGGCGAAGGCGACCACCUGGACUAAUACUGACACUGAGGUGCGAAAGCGUGGGGAGCAAAUAGGAUUAGAUACCCUGGUAGUCCACGCCGUAAACGAUGUCAACUAGCCGUUGGAAGCCUUGAGCUUUUAGUGGCGCAGCUAACGCAUUAAGUUGACCGCCUGGGGAGUACGGCCGCAAGGUUAAAACUCAAAUGAAUUGACGGGGGCCCGCACAAG